rnacentral:SRP_RNA from 1 species
GCUGGGCGUGGUGGCUCACGCCUGUAAUCCAAGCACUUUGGGAGGCCAAGGCGGGUGGAUCACCUGCGGUCAGGAGUUCGAGACCAGCCUGGCCAACAUGAUGAAACCCUGUAUCUACAAAAAUACAAAAAAUUAGCUGGGUAUGAUGGCGGGUGCCUGUAAUCCCAGCUACUCGGGAGGCUGAGNNNNNNNNNNCUCGCCCAGCUGGUUUUCUUUGUACUUUUUAGUAGAGACGGGGUUUCACCGUGUUAGCCAGGAUGGUCUUGAUCUCCUGACCUCGUGAUCCACCCGUCUC